UGUCUCAGAUGGUUAAGAAUCUGUCUAUAAUGCAGAAGACCCAGGUUCAAUCCCUGG
rnacentral:tRNA from 1 species